UACGUAGGUGGCAAGCGUUGUCCGGAAUUAUUGGGCGUAAAGCGCGCGCAGGCGGUCCUUUAAGUCUGAUGUGAAAGCCCACGGCUCAAUCGUGGAGGGUCAUUGGAAACUGGGGGACUUGAGUGCAGGAGAGAAGAGUGGAAUUCCACGUGUAGCGGUGAAAUGCGUAGAGAUGUGGAGGAACACCAGUGGCGAAGGCGACUCUGUGGCCUGUAACUGACGCUGAGGCGCGAAAGCGUGGGGAGCAAACAGG
rnacentral:rRNA from 1 species